GUGAAACCGUUCGGGGGUAAACGGACAGAGCCCGUGAAUCUGGGUGGCGGAAUUCAGGAUGGCUGUGCGCGCUGUACGCGGCGUGUACGGUCGUUUGAUAUUUCCGUCGCCGUCGAACAGACGCAGACGUCGCGACCUGUUUGUCGUCGGUCCCUGUUUUUGGAAGGAGCGCCGCGGUCGAGUUCGUUGUGGACGCGUUUCCGCGCGUCACACGGCGAAGCCGCGUGUCUCUGGCCGAUCGACGGACAGUAUGUUGCAAACACGGUGUCCGUUGGCGUGUGUACUAGUAACACACGGUCAACGGUACCGGUCGGUGACGAAUUCUUCGGGCCUCUUUCCGACCCGUCUUGAAACACGGACCAAGGAGUCUAACGUGCGCGCGAGUCGCGGGGUUACAUGUAGCGAAACCCGUGUGCGUUUCGGCGCGCUAGAAGGCGUAAUGAAAGUGAAUGGGGGAAGAUGGCGUUCCGAGUACACGUUCCGCGGUCACAGGUAUCGCGGCCGGACGUCCGCAUUCCCGGGGCGUCUCAACGGCCCGUCGCAGACGCGGACGGUCGUCUCUCGGGGCGGCCGUCGGUCCGCGUCGAACCGAGGCGCACCUAGAGCGUGCACGUUGGUACCCGAAAGAUGGUGAACUAUGCCUGGCCAGGAUGAAGUCAGGGGAAACCCUGAUGGAGGUCCGCAGCGAUUCUGACGUGCAAAUCGAUCGUCUGAGC
rnacentral:rRNA from 1 species